AGAGAAUAGAUACCCCGGUAGUCCACGCCGUAAACGAUGGAUGCUAGCCGUUGGCAGGCUUGCCUGUCAGUGGCGCAGCUAACGCAUUAAGCAUCCCGCCUGGGGAGUACGGUCGCAAGAUUAAAACUCAAAGGAAUUGACGGGGGCCCGCACAAGCGGUGGAGCAUGUGGUUCAAUUCGAAGCAACGCGAAGAACCUUACCAACCUUUGACAUGUCCCGUAUGGGUACCAGAGAUGGAAUCCUUCAGUUCGGCUGGCGGGAACACAGGUGCUGCAUGGCUGUCGUCAGCUCGUGUCGUGAGA
rnacentral:rRNA from 1 species